rnacentral:rRNA from 1 species
UACAGAGACUGCAAGCGUUAUUCGGAUUCACUGGGCGUAAAGGGUGCGCAGGCGGUUGCGUAUGUGAGUUGUGAAAGCCCGGAGCUUAACUCCGGAACGGCACCUCAAACUACGUAACUAGAGCAUUGGAGAGAGUAGCAGAAUUCACGGUGUAGCAGUGAAAUGCGUAGAUAUCGUGAGGAAUACCAGAGGCGAAGGCGGCUACUUGGACAACUGCUGACGCUCAGGCACGAAAGCGUGGGGAGCAAAAGGG